CGUGUUGUACGCGCUAGUGAUAAGGGGUUUACCUUCGGGAACUGAAAACAGAAGGAUGGAGACCGUGCUCAUUGGAAGUCUGCAUUUUGAAAUUUUCCAUGGUCGACCAUCUGCAAGAAUCUCAAUCGGAUUCUAAGUUUUACCAAGGAAUCUUUUUAUAAAUUUACUGCUUGGAACACUCGAGCUAGUUUCAUUGCUGCAAAUGGAAGUUUAAUGGUCACAACGUUCGGAGCUUCCUCGCUUUUAUCGCAACAGUUCCCCUUUCUUUGCACCAACCGGCGUACGUAUACGUAAGUACGUAUGUACCGUGGAAAAAUCUUUUCGCAAUAUCGCCAACUUUUUAACAAAUGGAACGGAAUCUUGCAAUUAAGCCGAUUAAAUUCUGCCAUGAGGGAAUCCCUGACAAUGGGAAGGAGAGAGACAAGGUUUCUAUGUUGAGGGAGGAGAGUGAAAAACACCUGCGUAAUAAUUCUCCUGACGGGAUAAUGUGUUUCGUGGUCCCUUUUCGCCGAGGACGAAGGCAGAAAGCUCGUUGUCCCCGUCAGAACUCGGGAGCUGUUCGAAAUAAUUAGCGUCCGCAUCACUUCUGAAACUCUCCGUCCUUUCCACACACGAGAGAGACAGAGAUAGAGAGACAGAGAGAAAGAGAGAGAGAGAGAGACACAGAGAGAGAGAGAGAGAGAGAGAGAGAGAGAGAGUAACACGAAUCACUUACACAUGAGAGAGAGCGAGAGAGAGAGAGAGUAACACGAAUCACUUACACUCUUCCAUACGAAGUCUACACACGAGUUGACUAACUCAUAUUUUGUAUGU